AACGAACACUGGCGGCAUGCCUAACACAUGCAUGUCGAACGAGACCUUCGGGUCUAGUGGCGCACGGGUGCGUAACGCGUGGGAAUCUGCCCAAAGGUUCGGAAUAACUCGGGGAAACCCGUGCUAAUACCGGAUGAUGUCUUCGGACCAAAGAUUUAUCGCCUUUGGAUGAGCCCGCGUCGGAUUAGCUAGUUGGUGAGGUAAAGGCUCACCAAGGCGACGAUCCGUAGCUGGUCUGAGAGGAUGAUCAGCCACACUGGGACUGAGACACGGCCCAGACUCCUACGGGAGGCAGCAGUGGGGAAUAUUGGACAAUGGGCGAAAGCCUGAUCCAGCAAUGCCGCGUGAGUGAUGAAGGCCUUAGGGUUGUAAAGCUCUUUUACCCGGGAUGAUAAUGACAGUACCGGGAGAAUAAGCCCCGGCUAACUCCGUGCCAGCAGCCGCGGUAAUACGGAGGGGGCGUAGCGUUGUUCGGAAUUACUGGGCGUAAAGCGCACGUA
rnacentral:rRNA from 1 species